GACAGAGGAGCCAAGCGUUGUCCGGACUGACUGGGCGUAAAGCGCCCGCAGGCGGCCGUGCACGUGGGGUGUGAAAGCUCGCGGCUUAACUGCGAGAGGCCAUCCCAUACGGCGCGGCUCGAGCCGUCCAGAGGCCGGUGGAAUUGCCGGUGUAGUGGUGAAAUGCGCAGAUAUCAGGAGGAACACCGGUGGCGAAGGCGGAUCUCUGGGCCUUACCUGACGCUGAGGAGCGAAAGCAUGGGGAGCAAACAGG
rnacentral:rRNA from 1 species